CCGCGUUUCUUUCUAUUUAAACAAACAAAAAAAGAAAAGUUCUCGACAAACUUUUAUGUACAUCCUAAAUAUACCUAUAUCCCGGUCUGUAAUUUUCUAAAAAUAUUUUUUGUUAAUUAUUUAUUGUCCUUUUAUGGGAAGUGCUAAAACCUACGGAACUUAUCCAUCGUUGGUUGUGUUAAAUGCAUUAAGGUGCUUCAGAAAAAAAGAGUCCAAUAGACUUAUGUUUGCAAGCCGCCACCAUCAGUUUUUCUUUUUAUUUAUAAACAAAUCUUAAGCAUUUUCUUAAGGGAAAAACAAAAAAGGAAGAAGAUUUUAUAUGAUGGCCAACAGAAUCAUUCAAUUAUACAUAUGUGCAAGCUAUCCUAGACUUUAUGCUGCAAAGGAUGAGUGUAGUAUUGCGACAAGGUUUAUGAGCGUAUCAAGAAGAUCCCAGGCUAAAGGAGAUUAAUAUGAAAGUGCAACGAAUCGAAAAAUCAACAACGUGCUUAGUCUUAACACUAAUCAAGCAAUUUGAUGAUCAAAAUACACUCCGUCAGAUGCUCUACAUCGCUGACAAUGUACCUAAUUUCCAUAUGUUGUUCAAGAUGCGCCCCUCUGAUCUGAUUUAUAAAAUCUAGUAGCCACAUUCAAAGAAUGUCAAACCUGCUGAAAAUGCAGACGAUAUUCUUGAAGACCAUGAGGAAAAUCCACAUGUUUUCUUUAAACGUUUACCCGAGGUUAUUGGCGACAUUUGGAAACGUAUAACGUCAGUGUGGGCGUGUAUACUGAAACAGUAUUUGAAAGAUAUGUACGCCCUGCAGGCUAAGAAGACGGUAAAAUAUCAAAUAACACAAACAUUUUACAAAAAAUUGUUACGACGAAAACAGUGCCCAAUUUCAAUUGCAGAAAUUAAGGAAUUGGUCAUAAAAUCAAGUGAUGUCUGUUUAAAUCCAGAAGAUGAGAAAGAUUUAUUUAUAUUUUUUCAGUUUAAACAACUUAUAAAUAAGUUUGAUCCAGAUGAUGCAUAUCUGCUCUUGAUAAAGAAAAAAAAUAAACAUGAUCAAGCUGAGAAUCGUUGGAUAGUAGCAGUGGAAAAAUUGCACCCAGCAUAGGCUUUGGAACGCCAACAUUACAGAACAAAUGAAUCAGAAACAACUAUUGGAAAAUUGACCCAAUGAAUAAUAAUAAUAAUAAUUAGUUUUUAACAAGUCUUGUUAUUUAAUUAAACAAUUUC